rnacentral:rRNA from 1 species
AGAGCUCAAAUUUUAAAUCUGGCGGUCUCAGGCUGUCCGAGUUGUAAUCUAGAGAAGUGUUAUCUGUGCCGGACCACAUGUAAGUCUCCUGGAACGGAGCGUCAUAGAGGGUGAGAAUCCCGUCUGUAAUGUGGACUCCCGGUGCUCUACGAUGCGCUCUCAAAGAGUCGAGUUGUUUGGGAAUGCAGCUCAAAAUGGGAGGUAAAUUCCUUCUAAAGCUAAAUAUUGGCGAGAGACCGAUAGCGAA